ensembl:lncRNA
GUCCUUCAGUAACAGUGUGUUCCUCAGCAACACCUCGCUAGGUCCUUUAGUAACAGUGUGUUCCUCAGCAACACCUCGCUAGGUCCUUUAGUAACAGUGUGUUCCUCAGUAGCACCUCGCUAGGUCCUUUAGUAACAGUGUGUUCCUCAGCAGCACGUCGCUAGGUCCUUUAGUAACAGUGUGUUCCUUAGCAACACCUCGCUAGGUCCUUUAGUAACAGUGUGUUCCUCAGCAGCACCUCGCUAGGUCCUUUAGUAACAGUGUGUUCCUCAGCAACACCUCGCUAGGCCCUUUCUUAAAUGGAAGAAAUUUGGAACAACAAACACUCUUCCUAGAGCUGGCUGGCCAGACAAACUGAGCAAUCGGGGGAGGAGGGUCUUGGUCAGCGAGGUUACCAAGAACCCGAUGGUCACUGACAGAGCUCGUCUGUGGAAAUGGAAUAAUCUUCCAGAAGGAUAAACAUCUCUGCAGCAGUCCACCAAUUAGGCCUUUAUGGUAGACUGGCCAGACGGAAGCCACUCCUCAGUAAAAUGCACAUGACAGCCCGCUUAGAGUUUGCCAAAAGGCACCUAAAGACUCUCAGACCAAGAGAAACAAGAUUCUCAGGUCUGAUGAAACCAAGAUUGAACUGUUUGGCCUGAAUGCAAAGCAUCAUGUCUGGAGAAAACCUGGCACCAUCCCUAUGGUGAAGCGUGGUGGUGGGAGCAUCAUGCUGUGGGGAUGUUUUUCAGGACUAAUCAGGAUCAAGGCAAAGAUGAACGGAGCAAAGUACAGAGAUCCUUGAUGAAAACCUGCUCCAGAGUGCUCAGGACCUCAGACUGGGGCAAAGGCUCACCAUCCAACAGGACAAUGACCCUAAGCACACAUCCAAGACAACGCAGGAGUGGCUUCGGGACAAGUCUUUGAAUGUCAUUGAGUGGUCCAGCCAGAGCCCAGACUUGAACCCAACAUCUCUUGAGAGACCUGAAAAUAGGUGUGCAUCAACGCUCCCCAUCCAACCUGACCGAGCUUGAGAGGAUCUGCAAAGCAGAAUGGGAACAACUCCCCAAAUACAGUUGUGACAAGCUUGUAGCGUCAUACCCAAGAAGACUUGAGGCUGUAAUCGCUGCCUAAGGUGCUUCAACAAAGUAUUGAGUAAAGGGUCUGAAUACUUAUGUAAAUGUGAUAUUACAUUUUUUUUUUUUUUUUGCAAAAAUGUCUGAAAACCAGUUUUUGCUUUGUCAUUAUGGGGUAUUGUGUAUUUUUUUUAAAUCCAUUUUAGAAUAAGGCUGUAACGUAACAACAUUUGAAAAAAGUCAAGGGGUCUGAAUACUUUCCGAAUGCACUGCGUGUCCUUUAGUUCCUCAGCAGCAGCAGUUGAAGUCGGAGUUUUACAUACACAUUAGCCAAAUGCAUUUAAACCCUGACAUUUAAUCCAAGUAGAAAUUCCCUGUUUUAGGUCAGUUAGG